UACGAAGGGGGGCUAGCGUUGCUCGGAAUGACUGGGCGUAAAGGGCGCGUAGGCGGUUUGUACAGUCAGGUGUGAAAUUCCCGGGCUCAACCUGGGGGCGGCACUUGAGACGUAGGAACUGGAGUGAGGAAGAGGGUCGUGGAAUUCCCAGUGUAGAGGUGAAAUUCGUAGAUAUUGGGAAGAACACCGGUGGCGAAGGCGGCUAUCUGGACCGACAUUGACGCUGAGGCGCGAAAGCGUGGGGAGCAAACAGG
rnacentral:rRNA from 1 species